rnacentral:rRNA from 1 species
CCUACGGGUGGCAGCAGUGAGGAAUAUUGGUCAAUGGGCGCGAGCCUGAACCAGCCAAGUCGCGUGAGGGAAGACGGUCCUAUGGAUUGUAAACCUCUUUUGUCGGGGAGCAAAAGACGCCACGCGUGGCGUUCCGAGAGUACCCGAAGAAAAAGCAUCGGCUAACUCCGUGCCAGCAGCCGCGGUACUACGGAGGAUUCGAGCGUUAUCCGGCUUUAUUGGGUUUAAAGGGUGCGCAGGCGGAAGAUCAAGUCGGGGGUAAAAUUGAGAGGCUCAACCUCUACGAGCCGUUGAAACUGGUUGUCUUGAGUGAGUGAGAAGUAUGCGGAAUGCGUGGUGUAGCGGUGAAAUGCAUAGAUAUCACACAGAACUCCGAUUGCGAAGGCAGCAUACCGGCGCUCAACUGACGCUCAUGCACGAAAGUGUGGGUAUCGAACAGGAUUAGAUACCCCAGUAGUC